UAGGAUCCCUAGUACGGCGAGUGAAGCGGGAUGAGCUCAAAUUUAAAAUCUGGCGGUCUCAGAUCGUCCGAGUUGUAGUCUAGAGAAGCGUUUUCCGUGCUGGCCUGUGUACAAGUCCGUUGGAACACGGCGUCAUAGAGGGUGAGAAUCCCGUCCUUGACACAGAUCUCCAGUGCUUUGUGAUGCGCUCUCAAAGAGUCGAGUUGUUUGGGAAUGCAGCUCAAAAUGGGUGGUAAAUUCCAUCUAAAGCUAAAUAUUGGCGAGAAACCGAUAGCGAACAAGUACCGUGAGGGAAAGAUGAAAAGCACUUUGGAAAGAGAGUUAAACAGUACGUGAAAUUGUUGAAAGGGAAACGAUUGAAGUCAGUCAUGCUUUCCGAGACUCAGCCGGUUCUGCCGGUGUACUUCUCGGUUUGCAGGCCAGCAUCAGUUUUGGGCGGUGGAAAAGGUUGGCGGGAAUGUGGCAUCCUCGGAUGUGUUAUAGCCCGCUUUCGAAUACAUCGCCCGGGACUGAGGAACGCAGCACGCCUCUUGUAGGUCGGUCUUCGGACACGUCCGUGCUUAGGAUGCUGGCAUAAUGGCUUUAAACGACCCGUCUUGAACNACGGACCAAAA
rnacentral:rRNA from 1 species